GGGAUGUGUUGAAUGGUCUAAGA
rnacentral:siRNA from 1 species